UACGUAGGUGUCGAGCGUUAUCCGGAAUUACUGGGCGUAAAGGGCACGCAGGCGGCCCGGCAAGUCCGACGUGAAAGCUCCCGGCUUAACCGGGAGAGGACGUGGGAAACUGCGGGGCUUGAGACAGAGAGAGGAAGGCGGAAUUCCCGGUGGAGUGGUGGAAUGCGUAGAGAUCGGGAAGAACACCUGUGGCGAAAGCGGCCUUCUGGCUCUGGUCUGACGCUGAGGUGCGAAAGCGUGGGGAGCGAACGGGAUUAGAAACCCCCGUAGUCC
rnacentral:rRNA from 1 species